rnacentral:rRNA from 1 species
UACAGAGACUGCAAGCGUUAUUCGGAUUCACUGGGCGUAAAGGGUGCGCAGGCGGCCAAGUGUGUGAGGCGUGAAAGCCCGGGGCUUAACCCCGGAAUUGCACCUCAAACUACAUGGCUAGAGCAUUGGAGAGGGUAGCGGAAUUCAUGGUGUAGCAGUGAAAUGCGUAGAUAUCAUGAGGAAUACCAGAGGCGAAGGCGGCUACCUGGACAAUUGCUGACGCUCAGGCACGAAAGCGUGGGGAGCAAAAGGG